rnacentral:rRNA from 1 species
UGCGGGACAUAGUAAUCGUCUUUGACGUGCUGUUUCCGUCGUCCUCGGGACGUUAAGGCGCUCUGGUCGAGGAUAAACGACCCCUCUGACAGAGGUAAAGCCGUCCUGUGUUACCUCUUUGCCGAGGCACACGUUAAAGAUCGUUCCACGUUGUGAGUCUAACACCAGUUGUAACACUUUUACAACCGGUAGCGCUGGAUCCCUUGGCACGUCAUUCGAUGAAGACCGUUGCAAAUUGCGAUAAAGUGAUGUGAUGCGCAAGUCCACCACUUAUACGUGAAUCAUCGAGUUGUUGAACGCACUGCACCGCGCCCUAAUCCGGCUGCGGUAUGCCCCUUUGAGCGUCAUUGUAUCCCUUCGGGAGUCUUUUCUAAGACCCGAGUUCACAGUCCUCGGUCUUUGGAUCGUGUUCUCUUAUAUGCGUCGCGCCGAUCGCCUGAGGGGUCACUCUAAUGCCUGAGCGUGGAGUCCCUCGGAGCUGAGACGCGCUUGAGCGAGUGUGGAGCUCUCGUCGCCAAGUCCGCACGUCUUGGACGUCGUACUACAACGCAUGACCUCAUUGGGGUAGGACAACCCGCUAGACUUAAGCAUAUC